GACUUUAUAUAUUUCCAUGUUUAUGACUCUUUUAUCAUGUGUUCAGUCAGAUAUUGUCUUCACCCAAAAAAGUAAUGAAGUCAAAAAGCCUGGAGAGUCUCUGCGACUGACCUGUCAUGGUUCAGGGCAGGACAGUGAUGGAAGAACCAUUGCUGCUUACCCCUUGAGCUGGAUUCGACAAGAGCCUGGAAAAGGACUUGAAUGGCUGGCUUUUAUUAGCUUUGACAGCAGCACUACAAAGUAUGCCAGCAGUGUUGAAGGACGAUUUACAAUCUCCAGAGACAAUUCUAAACAGGCUCUCUAUUUGGAUAUGAACAGCCUCAAAACUGAAGACACAGCCACAUAUUUUUGUGCUACAUGCACAAUGAGGAAUUUCCUGUUGUCUCUCAUACAAAAUCCUCAGAAACGUCUUUUCUGCCAAAAAGUGAAAUUAGUACAUUUUCCCACAAAUUGAGGAAGUGUUUGUUUAUUAUUAUUAACAGCUAUACUGUAGUUAUAAAAUACAAUGUAAUUAAAAUGAA